rnacentral:rRNA from 1 species
CCUACGGGCGGCAGCAGUGAGGAAUAUUGCGCAAUGGGCGAAAGCCUGACGCAGCGAAGCCGCGUGAGGGAUGAAGGUCUUCGGAUCGUAAACCUCUGUCAGCAGGGAAGAACGGUCCCUGUGCUAAUCAGCAGUGAAUUGACGGUACCUGCAAAGGAAGCACCGGCUAACUCCGUGCCAGCAGCCGCGGUAAUACGGAGGGUGCGAGCGUUAAUCGGAAUUACUGGGCGGAAAGCGCUCGUAGGCGGUAUGUCAAGUCAAGGGUGAAAGCCCCCGGCUCAACGUGAGAACUGCCUUGGAAACUGGCAAACUGGAGUGUAGGAGAGGAGAGUGGAAGUCCAGGUGUAGGAGUGAAAUCCGGAGAUAUCUGGAGGAACAUCAGUGGCGAAGGCGACUAUCUGGCACAUAACUGACGCUGAGGCUCGAAAGUGUGGGUAGCAAACAGGAUUAGAUACCCUGGUAGUC